rnacentral:rRNA from 1 species
GAUGAACGCUAGCUACAGGCUUAACACAUGCAAGUCGCGGGGCAGCGUGGGGGUUGCUUGCAAUCCCCGAUGGCGACCGGCGCACGGGUGAGUAACGCGUAUCCAACCUGCCCUUCACCACGGGAUAACCCGGCGAAAGUCGGACUAAUACCGUAUGUUUUCCAUUGACGGCAUCCGAUUUGGACGAAAGGUUUGGCGGUGAAGGAUGGGGAUGCGUCCGAUUAGCUGGGCGGCGGGGUGACGGCCCACCGUGGCGACGAUCGGUAGGGGUUCUGAGAGGAAGGUCCCCCACACUGGAACUGAGACACGGUCCAGACUCCUACGGGAGGCAGCAGUGAGGAAUAUUGGUCAAUGGGCGUAAGCCUGAACCAGCCAAGUAGCGUGCAGGAUGACGGCCCUAUGGGUCGUAAACUGCUUUUAUGCGGGGAUAAAGUGGCCCACGUGUGGGUUUUUGCAGGUACCGCAUGAAUAAGGACCGGCUAAUUCCGUG